UACAUGGGGUGCAAACGUUGCUCGGAAUUAUUGGGCGUAAAGCGCACGUAGGUGGUCUGUUAUGUCAGAUGUGAAAGCCCUCGGCUUAACUGAGGAAGUGCACCUGAAACUGGCAGGCUUGAGUACGAAAGAGGGUCGCGGAAUUCCCGGUGUAGAGGUGAAAUUCGUAGAUAUCUGGAGGAACACCGGUGGCGAAGGCGGCAUCCUGGACCGAGAUUGACGCUGAUGCGCGAAAGCCAGGGGAGCAAACGGG
rnacentral:rRNA from 1 species